rnacentral:rRNA from 1 species
CAGUCGCCGCGGGAAUACGUAGGGUGCGAGCGUUAAUCGGAAUUACUGGGCGUAAAGCGUGCGCAGGCGGUUCGUUAAGACAGAUGUGAAAUCCCCGGGCUUAACCUGGGAACUGCAUUUGUGACUGGCGAGCUAGAGUAUGGCAGAGGGGGGUAGAAUUCCACGUGUAGCAGUGAAAUGCGUAGAGAUGUGGAGGAAUACCGAUGGCGAAGGCAGCCCCCUGGGCCAAUACUGACGCUCAUGCACGAAAGCGUGGGGAGCAAACAGGAUUAGAUACCCCCGUAGUCCCUGUCUCUUAUAC